CCACUGGUUUAAUACAAAGAGGUUACACUACUGAAGACAUGAAAUUGAAAGAAGGCAUACAAAUUUGGCAGCAGGGACGUCAAAUGGAAGACAUAGAUUUGCUUUGAUAGUUCUGGGAAAAGUGUGGAAUCUUUUAAGGAACCAACACACCACACACUAGAGUGGCCUAUUCUAAAGUAGAUUCCCAGUUGUCAGAUGUCCACUACGCACUAGGUUGAAGGAAAAUGUCAGUGGAGUUUGGAUAUUCAUUGGCAGGAUUAUAACAGGUCUGUAUAUUAAUUAAUAGGAGAAGGUAUUAAAGGUGAUCAACAAACAUAUAUUGUCUGUGUCAUUUUCAAAUGAACUGUCCCAGUAUUUGCCUUAAUUGAUUUAUGAAGAUAACAGACAUGUCAACAUGAAGGGCCAUGUGGGGAUUUACAUGUUGUUACUCUUGAAUGUGAGUGCAGUGCCUUAAGCAUUGUGCCCCAUUACUUUAUGAAUUCAAAUGUGCACUGCUGCAAGGAACACAACACAAUUCUCAUGAAACCUUGCAGGGACAAUUCCAGAAUCCGUAUUCAAGAUGGUAUGCCAAUGUAUAUAUCGUAAAGGGGACAUGGUAUGAGAGAUUAGAAGGCAUGUAGAGAAGAGACAAGGUCAAUCAUUUUUCACUUUACUCUAUUCAUAUAUGGGAUAGGACAGUGUGUGGCCAAUGGUGGUAUAAAGUAUCCUCCACAAAGCACUGUGCAGUGGCAUUUACAGUAUAUAUUUGAAAACAGAUGUAGCAGUAGGUUCCCAUUAAUAAUAGUUUUGGUGUGCAAUAUCAAUAAAGUUGUAGAUAAACUUUAUGCGUUUCAGUAUUACGAUAAAAUACAAUGCCGAUAUGGAAAAAUAUUAUUCAUUACUGGAAAGCCACAAAUAUGUAUACAACAAGACGAACAUAGUUUCUUGCUGAUAAAUUCUGUUGCACAUAUAUGAAGGCUAAUGUUAUGCUACAGCAAUAAGAAUCAUUUUGAACCUCAAAUUAUACUAACUCGACUAACAUUAGAAUUUAUCACAGGACAAGGGCACUUUCACGCUCAGGUUCCAGGAACAUACAUCUAGUUAUGAACACUACUGUUUAAUCCUCCCGGACUCAUGAAUUAACAUCUUCUGUAUUUACUGAUGAGCUGUUGAAAUAUUUCGUGCCAGUAUGCAUUUCUCCACUGUUAAAUUCAUGCACAUAUGCAUAGUUUACACACUGUUCUUCAAUGAUAUACAGCCUCUACCCUCUCAGAAGCAUUUUUUAUUCUGUUGCUGUAGAUAUCUGUAAAUCUUUUCUCACAUUUCUUUGCAACAUGGCCAAGACUCUUGUCUAGCAGAUGGAAUUUAACUCAACUUCAGGAUUUUUUCCCAUAGGCAUUACAGGUACUAAAUUCUCUAUACCAUCAUAGUUUAUAAAUGAACAAGCAUGCCACAACUAAUUUUAUUAUAAUUUCUAUGAGAAUUAAAUGACAGGAAGAUGCCAUUUCUAUGUAAAAGUUUUUCUUGGUUAGUUCAAGUAUUUGUUUUGUAUUUUAUUAUUUGUUUCAGGUACUCCAGUGGCAUGGGACAGUUGGACUUCAUCAGAAGAUAUCCCUACAUCACAGCAUAUGCAGCAUGGAACUAUCACCACUGCGUGAACUACUGAGGAGGACCAGAAAACAUAUUACAACUAGGGAUUUCCAAGGAAGUGAAAAGCAACAAUGUAGAAAAUUGAAAUCGAUGAAAAAUUAGUACAGUGGGCUGGAGUCUAGUAGCCACUCAAGUUAACCAACCUGAUGUACAUCGAGGUCUACAAUUAGCACUCUGGCUAUCCUCUGCUGAUCCAGAAACCAUUUUGCAGUGACAGCCAAAUCAUUUAUCAGGCAAAAGCCAGUGCCUCUGUCAGGAAAAGCAUGAUGAGUACCUCCCGCUGUGCUACAAGCAAGACCAUGCUCGAGAGCCAGAGCUGCAGCCAGAAGUGUGCCACCUGUAAAACUCUGCAUUGCUGUGUGAUUGACAGCAUACUGUAAGCAGUAGAAUGUUCCACUAUCUAUGUUGGAACAAGCUGAGAUGGUGUUUGUGUACAGCCAGGCAGAUGGAAUAGUCGUCUUGAUGUACUUUUAUUAGGUUUAUACAACUGUAUGUAUGGUAUUGUUCAGAUGAAUCUGUAGUUCAUAUAUUUAUCCCAUAUAAUUGUAAAAUGGUUUAGGGACAAAUAAACCUGUGUCACUUUGAUUAGACACUGAAAAUGGCAUAAUGUAAUUUGCCAUAAGCAUACUCAAUUCCAGAAAAUAUUACCGAUUUCUGACAGUCCUGUCUGUUGCGAUACAGUUUAGUUCAAAUUAAACUGGGGCAUAUCUUCCUGAU